rnacentral:rRNA from 1 species
UACGAAGGGAGCUAGCGUUGUUCGGAAUCACUGGGCGUAAAGCGCACGUAGGCGGAUUUGCCAGUCAGGGGUGAAAUCCCGGGGCUCAACCUCGGAACUGCCUUUGAUACAGCAAGUCUUGAGUUCGAGAGAGGUGGGUGGAAUUCCUAGUGUAGAGGUGAAAUUCGUAGAUAUUAGGAAGAACACCGGUGGCGAAGGCGGCCCACUGGCUCGACACUGACGCUGAGGUGCGAAAGCUUGGGGAGCAAACAGG